rnacentral:rRNA from 1 species
UACGGGGGGGGCAAGCGUUGUUCGGAAUUACUGGGCGUAAAGGGCUCGUAGGCGGCCAACUAAGUCAGACGUGAAAUCCCUCAGCUUAACUGGGGAACUGCGUCUGAGACUGGUGAGCUUGAGUGCAGGAGAGGAACGCGGAAUUCCAGGUGUAGCGGUGAAAUGCGUAGAUAUCUGGAGGAACACCGGUGGCGAAGGCGGCGUUCUGGACUGCAACUGACACUGAGGAACGAAAGCCAGGGGAGCAAACGGG